UAUUAAUUGUAUUUUAAUGUCUUCUUUGUUUUGGUUUAGAUCUAACCAGAACCGAGUCGGCAGCAUCUUCUUGUAACAUUGACUCUCACGGUCAUAACCUAUACAUGUGUUGAUGUCUUUGUUUACAUUCGCCAUCUGAAAAAAUAUGCAAUUGAUGGUUUCACAAUCUAACGUCUCCGGCUCACACUUAUCACCCUGGUUCGAUCUUGCUACUGGUGCGAGAAUUUGAUGUUAUCUUCAAUUGCAACAUCAAACUUUGGAAUAUAUUUGCCAUCGCCGAUCACUGCGGGGCAGGCUGACUUAAGUUAACUUAUGGUGCAACAAGUUGGACUACAAGUUUGAGUAAAUGGUUAUAAUGUCUUGACAAAAUUGUUUGAGGCAAUAGACAUGAAGAGGUUUACUAAUGAUUCACCAAGAAUUCUCUCAUCACAGUCUGGUUUUAUUUUUGUGGCUUUUGUACAAGGAAGUUCUGAAUAAAGCAGGCUAAAACAAUUCUAUCAUUUUGUUGUUUUAUUGGAUCGAAAAGUGCAAUCUCAUUCACUAAUACUUUUACAAAAAUACUUCACUGGCAACUAAAAAAUAUAACUGCAGUAGAAUUGCGGUCAAUACUGCUGCAUAUCUCCAACACUUAGCAUAGACGAAGGCUAGAAAAAGAAGUGGUCAAAGUGCAAUAUUUACUGUCAUCACGACCAUAGAAUGUGAUUGCAGUAAAAGUGUGAUUGAGAGAGUUAGUUAACUGUAUUAAAACUGUAGUAAAAGUGUGGAAGAAGUGGGUUUCAACUGGCCAAGCUAAAACAUGAUCCGUGGCUAACUGUUGGAAAACUACAGUUUGAUCGAAAUAACUGGUACUUUUUCUACAGUUAAACUGUAGUUUUCUACAAUAAAAGUACUCUUUAAGUUUAAUUUUGUAUACUUAAACUGAUGUUUCAGUGCACAAAGACUAACAUUUAAACUCACUUAUAACUAAUUCCAACUUACUCCUAACUUCACUUUAAGUCAGAUUAAAGAGGAGAAAGAACUUAGAUAUCUCAUGCAGUUAAAAGUGGAGAUCCUUCCAGC